ensembl:lncRNA
AGAAUCCCACCCACCUACCCCCAUCCCAGUUAACAUAACAGUGGAAAUUUGCCUUAAAAAAUUAAAGCGAUUUUCAAACUAUUUUUUAAAAAAUCAAUCAAAAUAAUGCCCACUGAGGUAUAGAAAAACCAAAUUUGUAGACCAACAGACUAGGUCCUAACCCUCCCUUGUUCCUUUCAUACUUUCUAGGAUGACCCCUAGCAGGUCACUGAACUUUUAGGAGCUUUAGUAUAAUGUAGCAACAAUAUUUACCUCACAAGAUUCUACAGUGGAUUAAUGGUGCUCAGGUAUAUAAAGCCUCUAGCACUGCGCCAUUCAAAAUGGCAGCCACUAGCCAUAUGUGGCUAAAGAGAACUCAAAAUACUGCUAGUCAGAACUGAGAUGUGCUAUGUGAAAUACAUACCAGAUUUCAAAGUCUUAGUAUGAAAAAAAGAACGCAAACUACUCUAUUGUUUAAAAUAAAUUAUCCGUUGAAAUUAUAUUUUGGAAUAUACCGAGUUAAAUAAAACAUAUUAUGAAAAUGUGCACAAUUAGGUGCAUAUCUUACACUAGAGACCAACAAAACAGUAGUUUGUGUUGCCAAGUUUAACUUAUUUUUGUGCAUAUCUUAAAACCUUCUGCUUUUACCCAAGUCAUUAAAAAGUAUCCCCGAAUUGCUGGCUUCAUACACUUGUUAGGUUCAUUUCUUGCAAGGUUAGCUGUUUAAAAAUUGCAAUCAUAUACUUGUCGGGAAUUAUGUCUAUAUUAGAGAACUAAAAAUGAAAAAUAAAUUUGAGACUGACGUUGACAGAAGUUAUCCAAAAACUCCAAUAGCAAGGCAGUAUCAGUUCUCAUUGUUUGAUCCUUGAAGAAUACUCUAAAUUCAAACUUAAUAUCUACACCAAUACUUCUUUUCUCUGCUUUACAGAUUAGCAUCCCAUUGUUUAAAUAAGGGUGGAAAUCUGAGGCAGACUUGGAUCUGGGAACAUGCAAUCAUUUGUCUUUCGUAAUACAGAAAGCUCUCAGGACCAAACGGAGCAAUUUCCCCUGGUCUCAGAUGCAGCAGACCUGCCCAUUUCCUGUGGUGGGAAAGUCUGCAGGCGUCCUACUUAGUGGCUGUAGGGUUCACUGCGGACCCAGCCACGUUACUGGGAAAGAGGAAUCAAAUACAGUGAGCCUUCCAGAGGCCCGGAAGGGGAGCUCUGUGGAGCAGUGAACACAUCAAUGUGUCCUGGAGGAAGUUCCCAGCUAUGCCAUUGCCUAUUCCAUUUCUGCUGCAGACACAGUAACUCCUCAGAUUACUGCCGAAAUAUCUAUUUGCUCAAAAAUUCAGUUUAAAUUUAAAAAUUCAUCCACUUUGUAUGUGGAUUCAUAAAUGCUCUCAAAUGGCUCAUAUUUACCAGCCUUGUUUACAUCUAGUCCCAACAAACCUCAAGGGACCCCCUCUACGUCCCAACAUGGACAGCCUCAAGGACAUAGACCUGGCCAAUCAUGUAAGUUGCCCAUUUCAUUCUCCUGGACAAUUUCAAAUGCGCCUUCAUACUCGAGGCAGAUUCCGCCUAUGGGUACAAACCACUUGUCCUAGCUCUACCACCUGGCGUCUUACAGAGCAGCCCCUCCUGCAUUUGAUCUCUCUCCAAAUAAAGUCAGCAAGUGGGUACCACAAGUCCUCUCUUCUAUAGGCUGAGAGGCUAUGUGUAACAGCUCUUACUACACGCCUGGCGCAUGGCAAAUACACACCAAGUAUUUGCUAUUACCAUCAUUAAUAACCACAAACUAUGAUGGAUUAGUUGAACAAUCUUUAGAAGUUUACAUAAUUACUUCUCCUAAUAUUUUUGGUACUAUCUGGAGCCCUUCCCAGUGGAGAACCUCCUUUGCCAUGGCUGCAGAUGGUCUACGUCCCAGGACGAGUGUGGCCAACCGAGUGUGACCUCACUAGAAUGCAGGUACCAUCUUCUCUCACUUCACAGUUUUAUCCAAUCAGUGCAAACUCACAGCAGCUCUUUCGGCAGCCAACUGCUGUUUUAGCUAACAGGUGUAGAUCUUUGUCACCUGCAUCGUUACUAAAGGCUCUGCUUUAACAUCUGGAACACACUAAGCACCACGUUCAAAGCUGCCCCUGUAGACAGCUCCUCUGCAUUUCCCCAGAGGAGGACCAUACCUCAAGACUGCUCAGCACCCAGUGGUUGCUCAAUUUGUUAGACCAAAAUGCCACCAAUUUCCCAGAAGUUUACUAGCGUCCACACUUACUCAACCAUGUACCCUGCAAAGGAAGACUGAGGGACAAUUAGAAGGCCUUCCAGGAGGCAGUAAUGAGGAAAUGUCCUUGAUGCCAGUAAGAUACGCAUGGGGUCCCAACAGGACAAGGCCCUUCAGAAAUGUGACAGUUGUACGUAUUUGCCCAGGAUGAGAAAAGGAUCUGGCUCAACAAGACCAGCUUUUAUGGUCCUUAAGUUACAGGGACAACCUGAGCACCAAUUUAGGCCUUGGAUACAAGCGAGUACGCCGACCAGUCCCAACCUUCCCUGGGGUUGGAGGCUUGCUCUCCACUGGCAGGCAGAGCCUGUGCCUGCAGACAUGGCAGCUGUGCUUCUGGAGCAGUUUCCCAUUCCAAAACUUGACCAUCCUGCACCUGACCUGUGAUGCACCUGAUGUUUAGCAUCAAGAUCUCCUUUAGGGAGGGGAUCACUGGGUUCCCAAGAACUCAAACUAAAAACACAUCUCAGGAGGAAUCCAUUUCUGGGGUUGCUUGUCAGGCUGUUUCCUCUGUGGGGUGGAAGGUUAAUUCUGCAGCUUUCAUUUGAGCCUGGGACCUAGCUGGCCAUCAGUGAGGUGCUUGGUCCUAAAGCUGGAGGAAGGCACCAGGGACAAAGAUUAAGAACCAAGGAUGCCAAUAAAAAGGAACAAAGUACUGAUAACAAGCUACAACAUGGACGAACCCCAAAACACUCAGCUAAAUCAAAGACACCAGUCGUGAACGACACACAUUUUAUGAUUCCAUUUUAUAUAAAAUGCCAGAAGAGGCAAAUAGAUAUGGAGAGAAAGUAGAUAGGCAUUUGCCUAAAGCUUAGGGGGAUGGGGAGGUGCGGGACUAAGAGGCUAACAGCAAAGGGGUGUGGGCUAUCUUCUUGGGGUAGUAAAAAUGUUUAAACAUUGAUUGUGGUGCUGAGGCACGUCUCUGAAGAGACUCAAGGUCACUGAGCUGUCUACUUUAAAU